ensembl:snRNA U2 U2 spliceosomal RNA
AUCGCUUCUCGGCCUUUUGGCUAAGAUCAAGUGUAGUAUCUGUUCUUAUCAGUUUAAUAUCUGAUACAUCCUCUAUUUGAGGACUAUAUAUCUGGGCCAGGCUGU